rnacentral:lncRNA from 1 species
AAAUACAUGGACGGACGUCAUGAUAAAAGUGACGUCAGGCUUCCCUUAGCUUGCGCCAAGGCCUGAAGUUUUACAAGUAAAAUAACUAUGAUAAAUUUACAUUAUAACUAGAAGAGGUCACGUUAUUAGUCGAAAUAAAUAUUUGUUGAACCGGGUAAAACUGGUCAGACCAGCGAGCAAUUCUGAGAAAUAGAGCGACCUCGGGAUACUUCACCGAGCGCGAAGAGUGGAAGGGAGAGUUGCACCAUCACUUUCUACAAGUUUAACAUUGUUGUUUCACGACAACAUACAAGUAAAAAUGUAUGAAUUUUCAAUACAUGUCGGGACUGCAAGCAACCCCUUCAACUGUAUGAUAAGAAUAUGGAUACUGAGAGGACCUGAGCACUUGGACCAUGCCUCAGGACUACCUGGCCUGAUUACUCCUUGCUGUCCCCAGUCCACCUGGUCGUGCUGCUGCUCUAGUUUCAAUUGUUCUACCUGCGGCUAUGGAACCUUGACCUGUUCACCCGACGUGCUACCUUGUCCCAGACCUGCUGUUUUCAACUUUCUAGAGACAGCAGGUGCGGUAGAGAUACUCUGAAUGAUCGGCUAUGAAAAGCCAACUGAUAUUUACUCCUGAGGUGCUGACCUUUUUCACCCUCUCCAACCACUGUGAUUAUUAUUAUCUGACCCUACUGGUCAUCUAUGAACAUUUGAACAUCUUGGCAAUGUUCUGUUAUGAUCUCCACCUGGCACAGCCAGAAGAGGACUGGCCACCCCUCAUAGCCUGGUUCCUCUCUAGGUUUCUUCCUAGGUUCCGGCCUUUCUAGGGAGUUUUUCCUAGCCACCAUGCUUCAACACCUGCAUUGCUUGCUGUUUGGGGUUUUAGGCUGGGUUUCUGUACAGCACUUUGUGACAUCAGCUGAUGUAAGACAAGCUUUAUAAAUACCUUUGAUUGAUUACAGCCUCAAGUCUUCUUGGGUAUGACGCUACAAGCUUGGCAAUGAUGCUACAAGCUUGGCACACCUGUAUUUGGGGAGUUUCUCUCAUCCUUCUUUGCAGAUCCUCUCAAGCUCUGUCAGGUUGGAUGGAGAGCGUUGCUGCACAGCUAUUUUCAGGUCUCUCCAGAGAUUUUUGAUCAGGUUUAAGUCCGGGUUUUGGCUGGGCCACUCAAGGACAUUCAGAGACUUGUCCCGAAGCCACUCCUGCGUUGUCCUGGCUAUGUGCUUAGGGUCGUGGUCCUGUUGGAAGGUGAACCUUUGCCACAGUCUGAGGUCCUGAGCGCUCUGGAGCAGGUUUUCAUCAAGGAUCUCUCUGUACUUUGCUCCGUUCAUCUUUCCGUCGAUCCUGUCUAGUCUCCCAGUCCCUGCUACUGAAAAACAUCCCCACAGCAUGAUGCUGCCACCACCUUGCUUCACCGUAGGGAUGGUGCCAGUUUUC